UAGAUACCCUGGUAGUCCACGCCGUAAACGAUGUCUAUUUGGAGGUUGUGCCCUUGAGGCGUGGCUUCCGGAGCUAACGCGUUAAAUAGACCGCCUGGGGAGUACGGCCGCAAGGUUAAAACUCAAAUGAAUUGACGGGGGCCCGCACAAGCGGUGGAGCAUGUGGUUUAAUUCGAUGCAACGCGAAGAACCUUACCUACUCUUGACAUCCAGAGAAUUUAGCAGAGAUGCUUUGGUGCCUUCGGGAACUGUGAGACAGGUGCUGCAUGGCUGUCGUCAGCUCGUGUUGUGAAAUGUUGGGUUAAGUCCCGCAACGAGCGCAACCCUUAUCCUUUGUUGCCAGCGGUUCGGCCGGGAACUCAAAGGAGACUGCCAGUGAUAAACUGGAGGAAGGUGGGGAUGACGUCAAGUCAUCAUGGCCCUUACGAGUAGGGCUACACACGUGCUACAAUGGCGUAUACAAAGAGAAGCGACCUCGCGAGAGCAAGCGGACCUCAUAAAGUACGUCGUAGUCCGGAUUGGAGUCUGCAACUCGACUCCACGAAGUCGGGAAUCGCA
rnacentral:rRNA from 1 species